GACGUAGGGCGCGAGCGUUGUCCGGAUUUAUUGGGCGUAAAGAGCUCGUAGGCGGCUUGUCGCGUCGUCUGUGAAAUCCCGCGGCUCAACCCCGGGCCUGCAGCCGAUACGGGCAAACUAGAAUUCGGUAGGGGAGACUGGAAUUCCUGGUGUAGCGGUGAAAUGCGCAGAUAUCAGGAGGAACACCGGUGGCGAAGGCGGCUACCUGGACCGGUUCUGACGCUGAUGCGCGAAAGCGUGGGUAGCAAACAGG
rnacentral:rRNA from 1 species